rnacentral:rRNA from 1 species
UGGGGAAUAUUGCACAAUGGGGGAAACCCUGAUGCAGCAACGCCGCGUGAAGGAUGAAGGUUUUCGGAUCGUAAACUUCUAUCAGUAGGGACGAAAGAAAUGACGGUACCUAACUAAGAAGCCCCGGCUAACUACGUGCCAGCAGCCGCGGUAAUACGUAGGGGGCAAGCGUUAUCCGGAAUCACUGGGUGUAAAGGGUGCGUAGGCGGCAAUGUAAGUCAGAUGUGAAAUCCCGGGGCUCAACCCCGGGCGUGCAUUUGAAACUGCAUAGCUAGAGUGCAGGAGAGGAAAGUGGAAUUCCUAGUGUAGCGGUGAAAUGCGUAGAUAUUAGGAGGAACACCAGUGGCGAAGGCGACUUUCUGGACUGUAACUGACGCUGAUGCACGAAAGCGUGGGUAGCGAACAGG